rnacentral:rRNA from 1 species
AUUGAACGCUGGCGGCAGGCUUAACACAUGCAAGUCGAGCGGAGAUGAGGUGCUUGCACCUUAUCUUAGCGGCGGACGGGUGAGUAAUGCUUAGGAAUCUGCCUAUUAGUGGGGGACAACAUCCCGAAAAGAAUGCUAAUACCGCAUACGGCAUUCGGGAGAAAGCAGGGGAUCUUCGGACCUUGCGCUAAUAUAUGAGCCUAAGAGGGAUUAGCUAGCUGGUGGGGUAAAGGCCUACCAAGGCGACGAUCGGUAGCGGGUGUGAUCGGAUGAUCCGCCACACUGGGAAUGAGCCACGGUCCAGACUACUACGGGAGGCAGCAGUGGGGAAUAUUGGACAAUGGGGGUAACCCUGAUCCAGCAUUGCCUCGUGUGGGAAGAAGGCCUUAUGGUUGUAAAGCACUUUAAGCGAGAAGGAGGCUACUGAGACUAAUACUCUUGGAUAGUGGACGUUACUCGCAGAAUAAGCACCGGCUAACUCUGUGCCAGCAGCCGCCGCAGUA